rnacentral:tRNA from 2 species
GGGUCGUUAGUUCAGUUGGUUUAGAACGCAUGCUUGACAGGCAUGAGGUCGGCAGUUCGAAUCUGCCACGACCCACAA